rnacentral:tRNA from 1 species
UGGGCUGUCGCCAAGCGGUAAGGCACCAGACUUUGACUCUGGCAUUCGCUGGUUCAAAUCCGGCCAGCCCAGCCA